AUUGAACGCUGGCGGCAUGCCUUACACAUGCAAGUCGAACGGCAGCACGGGUGCUUGCACCUGGUGGCGAGUGGCGAACGGGUGAGUAAUACAUCGGAACAUGUCCUGUAGUGGGGGAUAGCCCGGCGAAAGCCGGAUUAAUACCGCAUACGAUCUACGGAUGAAAGCGGGGGACCUUCGGGCCUCGCGCUAUAGGGUUGGCCGAUGGCUGAUUAGCUAGUUGGUGGGGUAAAGGCCUACCAAGGCGACGAUCAGUAGCUGGUCUGAGAGGACGACCAGCCACACUGGGACUGAGACACGGCCCAGACUCCUACGGGAGGCAGCAGUGGGGAAUUUUGGACAAUGGGCGAAAGCCUGAUCCAGCAAUGCCGCGUGUGUGAAGAAGGCCUUCGGGUUGUAAAGCACUUUUGUCCGGAAAGAAAUCCUUGGCCCUAAUACGGUCGGGGAAUGACGGUACCGGAGGAAUAAGCACCGGCUAACUACGUG
rnacentral:rRNA from 1 species